rnacentral:rRNA from 1 species
AGAGUUUGAUUCUGGCUCAGGAUGAACGCUAGCUACAGGCUUAACACAUGCAAGUCGAGGGGCAUCAGGGAGAAAGCUUGCUUCUUGCUGGCGACCGGCGCACGGGUGAGUAACGCGUAUCCAACCUUCCCCCCAGUAGGGCAUAGCCCGGCGAAAGUCGGAUUAAUACCCUAUGUUUUCCAAUGAGGACAUCUGAGCUGGAACAAAGAUUUAUCGCUGGGGGAUGGGGAUGCGUCCGAUUAGGUUGUUGGCGGGGUAACGGCCCACCAAGCCCGCGAUCGGUAGGGGUUCUGAGAGGAAGGUCCCCCACACUGGUACUGAGACACGGACCAGACUCCUACGGGAGGCAGCAGUGAGGAAUAUUGGUCAAUGGGCGCGAGCCUGAACCAGCCAAGUAAGCGUGCAGGACGACGGCCCUAUGGGUUGUAAACUGCUUUUAUGCGGGGAUAAAGUGGCGUACGUGUACGUUUUUGUAGGUACCGCAUGAAUAAGGACCGGCUAAUUCCGUGCCAGCCGCCGC